AAAUUUUAACAUUUUUUUAAAAUUAAUAAAUUAAAUUUUGGUUAAAGUAAUUCUUCCAUGACAUGAAAAAACAAAUAACUAAUAAAUAAAUAAAUAAAAAUUCAAGGAAAUAUGCAACCUUGACAUAAAUAAAUAGAAGCAUGAAUCCGCUUUAAAAAAAUAAAGAAAAAUACAAUGAAAGGAACCAAACAUGUUGAGCCCCAUAAAUAAGGAAAUUAAUUAAUUACUGCAUAUAUGAAAUAAAUAGAAUGAAGAAACGACGGUACAUGGUUUUGGUGGAGAUUUGAAAAAAUAGUAAUAUUAUUCAACCUUGAAUCAAAUUAAAAUAUAUGAAAAAAAUUUAUUAAAAAUACAAAAUUCGAAAGUAAAAUAAUUCAGCCUUAAAACAAAUAAAAUAUCGAAAAAACAUAUAUAAAAUAUCGAAAAAAUAUAUAAACAUUUUGAACAAUUAAUCAUUUACAUUUUGGUUAAAGUAAUUCUUCCAUGACAUGAAAAAACAAGAACUAAAACAAAAAUGAAAUAAAUAAUUCAAAUAAAAAUUCUAGGAAAUAUGCAACAUUGGCAUAAAAUGGAAGCAUGAUUCCGCUUUAAAAAAAAAAAGAAAAAUAUAAUGAAAGGAACCAAACAUGUUGAGCCCUAUAAAUAAGGAAAUUAAUUAAUUACUGCAUAUAUGAAAUAAAUAGAAUGAAGAGACAACGGUACAUGGUUUUGGUGGAGAUCAGAAUUAAAAUACAUUUGCUUCCAAUGUGUUAGCCAGCAAUAAUAAGCACCAUUACUCAGCUCAGCUCAGCUCAGGUAAGUUAAAUAUGAUGAGCACACGGAAAUAAAAAGCUAUACAACAGAAGAACUUGUAUCCCCUGCCCUGUAAUUGUAUUCAAUGAUAAAUAUCUAUGGCUAUAUUCCUUUUAUUUAUAAUGGCUUCUGGUAGAAAAUAAGCAAUUAUCCUUUUUUCCCUCCUGCAUCACAGGUGUUUAAAUUUAGAUUUAAAAUUCUAUCUUCCAGCAGUAGCCGCAAGGAAAAAAAAGACUACAGCCACUGCAACUGUUUCAGCAGUCUAAUAAUGUCCUUUUUUUUUUAUUCCUAUUACGUCCUGUUCCAAACAUAAAACAACUUUAUACCACACCAGAAGGGUAGGAAUUAACUACUGAAUAAUUGAUAUUUUCCAAGUUUACCAAGCUCCUAUUUAGAUGCUUUCUGAUACAAAGAAAGUCAUGAAUUAACAAUUAGGCUUUUUAUGGUAACUUCUUGUUGUAAAAUGCAAAAAAAUAAAAGACUGCUUCAUGCUCAUUCCUGAGGGAGGUUGGCUCAAGGCCAAUUUGCAGGCUGUUUACCAGUUUGGGUUUUCUAAUAUUCUGUCGAAUUUUCUUUCUUACACGGUGAACUGUGUUAAUCCAAUUCAGUACAGCUAAUUAUAUGUUUCACUGUGUAUUAGUAUGAAAUUAACACAUACCGUAACAAAGUAUUUUGAUUGCUUUCAUUUUGAUUGGAAGUUACGUUGAAAAAAUCCCAGUGUUCUUGAAUGCAGCACUAUUUAAAGCGUUUCCUAUUUACGCUGUGACUCCUCCUACGUCACAACAACAUCAAUCAUGGCUGUGGUUCCAGCUCCAGUUUGCUUACUAACUCGACUUCUUGGCUUUUCUUCUGUUUUGUAACAUGUUUGUUUCUCCCUGACGUGACACUUAGCUAGUUUAUGUUUUUUCAGUGUUUAGAUUUUAGCUUAAAUUUAAGUACAUUUCGCUACACGAGUCUUGAACCGAAUGGGCGGCCAUUUUGAUUCAAGUGAGCAUUAACAGCUUUGAAUGCUUAAAACAUGCCUUUAGGAGCCAUUGUCUGCAACCAAAAUGGCCACCCUCCUGUGUUGUUUUGCAUAUUUUGGCUAUCUCCCGUUAUUAAGGGUUGGAGGGGUAUGCUGGAGCCUAUCCCAGCUGACUUUGGGCGAGAGGCGGGGUACACCCUGGACUGGUUGCUGGUCAGUGAAUGCAACUGCUACAUAACACUUCAUGGGGCCAAAGAAAGAUGGGAAUGCCAGCAAUUUGGUCAAGAAGUUGAGAAACACAAUUGGAUUAGAUCUCGGCAGGAUAGAACCGACAUUUUGCUGAAACUUGCAAGUGUUGUACUGCUGAUUACUAAAGAACGGAAAAAAGAGACCAGAUAGCACCGUCUGUCGGACCUGGUGGGACGCUGACCUUCCAGUCCUUAUCAAGCAGAGCUGCCACUGGACCCAAAAUGCAGAAAGUAAGGAGACACAUUUUAUUUGAGUGGAGACUGAGGGCAGCUGCAGCAAAGUACAGACUGUGGAGUAAAAUGCUGCAGUGUCCAGCCCAAAGCUAAGGCACAGCAACAGGGCGUCACAGUAAGGAGACAAAUUCUACCCUUACGGAGACUGAGGGCAGCUGCAUCAAGAACACCCUCCUGCCCCGCCUCUACCUGAAGUAAAGAUCACGAUGCAGAUGACCUCAAUCUCUCAGUCAUCACGAGAGCUCGCCGUUUGCAUUCCGCUUUGCACGUCUCCUCCAUUCCUCCGACACCUUCUACAUGGUCUUUACAAGUUCUCAGGUCCCUGAACUGAUGAGGUGCUCAAAGAACAUUCUUAGUGGCCAAACUUAUGAUGAAAAAGGAAACCAGAGUACCCCGAGAAAGCCCAUGCACCUACCGAGGAGAACAUGCAAACUCCACACAGAGAUGCCAAGCGGAGAAUCGAACGUGGGUGUACCCCGCCUCUCGCCCGAAGACAUCUGGGAUAGGCUCCAGCGUGCCUGCGACCCUCAUGAGGAUAAGCGAAGGUGCUGUUACGUUUUGGCUUUGACAUUGCGUGGCCACGACCCCGAGGGUGCAGAAAGAAUGCAGAACUCACUCUCCACACCAUGACCACAUUUUGACAACAAUAGGAUAAAAAUGAAUGUUCCUCACAAGACAUGUUAUCUACUCACACCUUUAAUAGAGUGGCUGCCAUUAAUUGGACUGGGAUUAGGACACUCACUCUGUUGUCAGAGCUGGGGAUCAUCGUAUCCGUCAUCCAGGAGCCGAACCUGGACCCAGACGCUCGCACCGUAAUGGGAUUACUGACGCCGGUGAGCUUCCCGCAACCUGCAGGUCAAAGCAGAGGUAGAGGAUGGAAGGCUUUAUUGAUGGAUGCUUCAUUUCAAGCACCACAUAAUGUGAUGGAAAACAAGUGGAUCGGAAGGACUCGUAUACACAACACAUUCAAAAGCACAUUUAGUCACAAAUACAACCGUAUUUUCCGAACUAUAAGUCACAC